UGAAGACCGCAUCAAUCCUCCCUUCUCUACUCAUUCUAGAUUUUCAGCUCCACUGAAGCAGAGCACAGCAGAAAUCACUUCUCCACCCGUUCUGUAGCUGUGGCUAGAAAGGUUUUCUAUUUAGUGGGUGGCCUUGGACAACUCAACAUAAUCUACUCACAGGAUACAGGCACCUUUCCUUUUCAGUGCAACUGUGAAAAGAAAUGGCAGCAUCAACACAGCUGAAAUCUGGCUUCCUGAAACUUGAGCCCAUUUUUCCAUGUCCUCUCUGGGAUGAUUAAGAAGAGAUCCUGGGCCCCUUCUGUGCAAACCAAGUA